rnacentral:rRNA from 1 species
GAUGAACGCUGGCGGUAUGCUUAACACAUGCAAGUCGAACGGACUCUUCGGAUUUAGUGGCGGACGGGUGAGUAACGCGUGAGAAUCUGGCUUUGGGUUCGGGACAACCACUGGAAACGGUGGCUAAUACCGGAUGUGCCGAGAGGUAAAAGAGAAAUUGCCUGAAGAUGAGCUCGCGUCUGAUUAGCUAGUUGGUGAGGUAAAGGCUCACCAAGGCAGCGAUCAGUAGCUGGUCUGAGAGGAUGACCAGCCACACUGGGACUGAGACACGGCCCAGACUCCUACGGGAGGCAGCAGGGGGGAAUUUUCCGCAAUGGGCGAAAGCCUGACGGGGCAAUACCGCGUGAGGGAAGAAGGCUCGUGGGUUGUAAACCUCUUUUCUUAGGGAAGAACGAAUGACGGUACCUAAAGAAUCAGCGUCGGCUAACUCCGUG